UGCCCACACUUCAUCAGUGUGGACUCACUGUAAACAUUCCCAGGUUUCCGAUGGCAGGUCUGCACUGUGUGACUCAUAAUAUUUCUUGUUUAUUAGAGAUUAGAAACCCACACAGAACCAGGAAAAAUGUCCCUGAGUAUACAUUUCCAUUAUCACUAAGAAAUCACAAAUCUCAGUCACCUGAGGGAAGAGUGGAAGCCUUGCCCUGUGCUUCCUUUUAUCUCUUCAGGAACCUCCCCCAAUGCAAAGCAGCCCUCAGGCUCAGGAUGAAAGCCCAGGCCUAGCUGAGAAGCCCCAUCUCCUUCUCACUAGAGCCUCCAGCAGAGCAUGGCUGUCCUGGUGCUGCUCCUCUGCCUGGUGACCUUUCCAAGCUGUGCCCUGUCCCAGGUGCAGCUGAAGGAGUCAGGACCUGGCCUGGUGCAGCCCUCACAGACCCUGUCCCUCACCUGCACUGUCUCUGGGUUCUCAUUAACUGACUACAGUGUACACUGGGUCCGCCAGCCUCCAGGAAAGGGUCUGGAGUGGGUGGGAGGAAUAUGGUAUAAUGGAAACACAUAUUAUAAUUCAGCUCUCAAAACCCGAAUCACCAUCACCAGGGACACGUCCAAGAGCCAAGUUUUCUUAAAACUGAACAAUCUGCAAUCUGAGGACACAGCCACUUAUUACUGUGCCAGAGACACAGUGAGGGAACUCCAGUGUGAGCCUGCAAAAAACCCUCCUUACAGAGACACUCAGGACCAGCAGGGGGUGCUGAGGACCAACAGGGACUACCCAGCACCAGUAGGAGUCACUUCAAAACCUAGGUUAUUGGACUAUGCUGCAUGAGCAUUUUUUUUUUUAUUGUUAGUACCGAUGGUUUCCUUUCUACACCAAGAAAUCCCCUAGGGGUCCGUCCCCAUGUUCACUUUUUAUAGACUUCCUAUUCAUUCACAUACUAGAACAAAUGGAUUUUUUCACAAAUUGUCUAUACUAUCUGUUUGCUUCUUAUUAUCAGGGAAAUUGACAUAUAACUUUAGAUGUUCCAUGUAUGUGCAUUCCAUUAUAUAUACAUAUAUUUCAACAGGAGACUGCAAUU